CGUGUGCACCCCCCACCUCCGCCGGACGUCGGAGUGGUGGCGGUGCGUCCGUUGGCCUCCCGUUCGAUCGUCCCCACAGCGCGGCUGGCCCAAGUGUGUGUUCGUCCCCCGCCGCGUCGGUGCUCCGAGGUGUGGCCCGCCCCCACGAGCGUGGGCGAGUUCGCCGCGACACGUUGCCCCUGCCCCCUCGGUGCCGGCGAUCGGCCGGGUGCGGCUGCCCCCGUCCCUCGAAUGAGAAGCGGGCCGGGAGUCGGGCGGCCGGGCUGUGUGUUCACGAUGCGCAGCACGCCGCUCGGUCUCGUCGCUCGCUGCGUCGGACC
rnacentral:misc_RNA from 1 species